rnacentral:lncRNA from 1 species
CAGCGAACAGAAGAAGAAAAGAAUCGACCCCAAGGCUGAAGAACUGUUAUCCCUCUGCAGUACAUGGGGGUUUGAGCUCACGUCAAUGUGCCUGACCUAAGGGCAAAUGGAGCUGAGCAGGAGGGAGAAUUAGACACUUGCCACGGCUUGGAGACAGGGUCUACUGCUCUCUGCUGAACCAGAGGAAAGAACACACUGGCUCCUGAACCUUCGCAGGAAGACAAGGCGAGGGCUGCUGAGUGCCCGUCGCUGCUCACAGCACAGAACAUCCUACUCCUCAGACUCUUUGUCCCCGUCCUAAGACUGUCCUUCACUUGGUCCAUCCAAUCCAAAAUAUGGGCAUACGAACCACACCUCAUCCUUCACACACACAACAUGCUCAACCUUCACUAGCCACGUGACUUUCUUUCUCACGUCAUCC